AGCGGUGAUGAUAAAGCAAUUUAAGUGACGGUAUCGACCGUCACAGUCGUCCUGAUUAUCCGUGACGUUAGCAAGUGCCGUCUGAGCU
rfam:Arabis alpina cultivar Pajares Aa.chr3_contig_1423, whole genome shotgun sequence.